GGGGCGAGAGAAAUAUUUGGGGCAAUGGGGGGAAACCCUGACCCAGCAACGCCGCGUGAAGGAAGAAGGCCUUUCGGGUUGUAAACUUCUUUUACCAGGGACGAAAAACAUGACGGUACCUGAAGAAAAACCCACGGCUAACUACGUGCCAGCAGCCGCGGUAAUACGUAGGUUGCAAGCGUUGUCCGGAUUUACUGAUGG
rnacentral:rRNA from 1 species